UUCUAGAAAUAAAUUUAAGGGAAAACUAUAAAUACCCCUUAUGUGGUUUCGGACUUUCUCACUUUAAUACCCUGUGGUUUAAAGUGUAUUAAGUUAGUACCAUAUGGUUUCGCACUUUCUUACUUUCGUAUCCUGUGGUUUAAUAUUUUGUUAAAUUAUAUACAAAAACUUCAAAUAUCCUACCUACAUUUAUCGAAUAUUUAUUUUAGUAUCCUUUAGUUUUAACUUUGUCACUGAUUUAACGAAAAAAAUAUUCCGAAAUGGAUAAUAAAAAGAGAAAAAUAAAACCAAAAGAUAUUAACUUGAUACAAAAAUAAAAUCACAGAGUACAAACUUGAUACACUUUAAACCACAGGGUACUAAAGUGAGAAAGUGCGAAAACACAAGAUACUAACUUGAUACACGUUAAACCAUAGGGUACUAAAGUGAAAAAGUGCGAAACCACACGAGGGGUAUUUGAAGUUUUUCCUAAAUUUAAAAAUCGAAUAAUUUAAAGGGUUUUUUUUAUUAUUUAUGUUUGAUAAUUAUUUGAAGUGGCGUGAGGUCGGAUUGGGCCGAGUCAUAAU
rnacentral:lncRNA from 1 species